UGCAAGUCGAACGGUGAAGCAGGAGCUUGCUCUUGUGGAUCAGUGGCGAACGGGUGAGUAACACGUGAGCAACCUGCCCCUGACUCUGGGAUAAGCGCUGGAAACGGCGUCUAAUACUGGAUAUGUGACGUGACCGCAUGGUCUGCGUUUGGAAAGAUUUUUCGGUUGGGGAUGGGCUCGCGGCCUAUCAGCUUGUUGGUGAGGUAAUGGCUCACCAAGGCGUCGACGGGUAGCCGGCCUGAGAGGGUGACCGGCCACACUGGGACUGAGACACGGCCCAGACUCCUACGGGAGGCAGCAGUGGGGAAUAUUGCACAAUGGGCGAAAGCCUGAUGCAGCAACGCCGCGUGAGGGAUGACGGCCUUCGGGUUGUAAACCUCUUUUAGCAGGGAAGAAGCGAAAGUGACGGUACCUGCAGAAAAAGCGCCGGCUAACUACGUGCCAGCAGCCGCGGUAAUACGUAGGGCGCAAGCGUUAUCCGGAAUUAUUGGGCGUAAAGAGCUCGUAGGCGGUUUGUCGCGUCUGCUGUGAAAUCCCGAGGCUCAACCUCGGGCCUGCAGUGGGUACGGGCAGACUAGAGUGCGGUAGGGGAGAUUGGAAUUCCUGGUGUAGCGGUGGAAUGCGCAGAUAUCAGGAGGAACACCGAUGGCGAAGGCAGAUCUCUGGGCCGUAACUGACGCUGAGGAGCGAAAGGGUGGGGAGCAAACAGGCUUAGAUACCCUGGUAGUCCACCCCGUAAACGUUGGGAACUAGUUGUGGGGUCCAUUCCACGGAUUCCGUGACGCAGCUAACGCAUUAAGUUCCCCGCCUGGGGAGUACGGCCGCAAGGCUAAAACUCAAAGGAAUUGACGGGGACCCGCACAAGCGGCGGA
rnacentral:rRNA from 1 species